AACCAAACUAAGAAACAGACACUAUAACCCAAAAGUAACAAAACCUGUAAACCAAAAUAAGGGACAAUCCCAAAUAAAUGAGAAUAUACAUAAAAACAGGAGAGGCAAUAGCACAAUAGCCUAAGUAAGUGGCAAGUGGAGCACUGCCUAUGAAGAACGGCGUGAAGGCACAGACAUAGAGCAAAAAACAUUGCCCACCAACUGAAAUACUCUGCCACUAUAGAAAUUUUUGUAGAGAAGGGCAUAGACAUUAGCCCAGGGAAUNNNNNNNNNNNNNNNNNNNNCCAAAAGUAACAAAACCAGUAAACCAAAAUAAGGGACAAUCCCAAAUAAAUGAGAAUAUACAUAUAAACAGGAGAGGCAAUAGCACAAUAGCCUGAGUAAGUGGCAAGUGGAGCACUGCCUAUGAAGAACGGCGUGAAGGCACAGACAUGGAGCAUCCAAAAUAUAAGAACGUUUGAUAUAAUACUUGAA
rnacentral:lncRNA from 1 species